CUCAUUCGACAGGGGUGCUCCGUAUUGCCGGGGCUGAGAUGCGAGGCGCAUGAAGCCUCCGGACCCUUUAGCUGAUCUGGUUAAUGCCAGCGGAGCGAGGCGACGACAUGUUUUC
rnacentral:ncRNA from 1 species